AACUUGGUUGAUCCUGCCAGUGGCCUUUGCUAUUGGGAUUCGACUAAGCCAUGCGAGUCGAGAGGGUUCGGCCCUCGGCUGACGGCUCAGUAACACGUGGAUAAUCUGCCCUUAGGUGGAGGAUAACCUCGGGAAACUGAGAAUAAUACUCCAUAGGUCUAGGAUGCUGGAAUGCAUCUAGACUGAAAACUCCGGUGCCUAAGGAUGAGUCUGCGGACUAUCAGGUUGUAGUCAGGGUAAAGACCUGACUAGCCUACGACGGAUAUGGGUUGUGAGAGCAAUAACCCAGAGAUGAUAUCUGAGACACGAUAUCAGGCCCUACGGGGCGCAGCAGGCGCGAAAACUUCACACUGUGCGAAAGCACGAUGAGGGAAUCCCAAGUGCCAGCUCGUAAGAGUUGGCUGUUUUUCUGUCUAAAACACAGAGAGAGUAAGAGCUGGGUAAGACGGGUGCCAGCCGCCGCGGUAAUACCUGCAGCUCGAGUGGUGGCCGCUAUUAUUGGGCCUAAAACGUCCGUAGCCGGUUUGGUAAAUGCCUGGGUAAAUCGUGUAGCUUAACUAUACGAAUUCCGGGUAGACUGCUAAACUCGAGACCGGGAGAGGCUAGAGGUACUCCUGGGGUAGAGGUGAAAUUCUGUAAUCCUGGGGGGACCACCAGUGGCGAAGGCGUCUAGCUAGAACGGAUCUGACGGUGAGGGACGAAGCCCUGGGGCGCAAACCGGAUUAGAUACCCGGGUAGUCCAGGGUGUAAACGCUGCUUGCUUGAUGUUAGGUGGGCU
rnacentral:rRNA from 1 species